GACGAACGCUGGCGGCGUGCUUAACACAUGCAAGUCGAACGGAAAGGCCCUGCUUUUGCGGGGUGCUCGAGUGGCGAACGGGGGAGUAACACGUGAGUAACCUGCCCUUGACUGUGGGAUAACUUCAGGAAACUGGGGAUAAUACCGGGUAGGAGCUCCUGCUGCACGGGGGGGGUUGGAAAGUUUCGGCGGUUGGGGAUGGACUCGCGGCUUAUCAGCUUGUUUGUGGGGUAGUGGCUUACCAAGGCUUUGACGGGUAGCCGGCCUGAGAGGGUGACCGGCCUCAAUAGGCCUGAGGUACGGCCCAGUCUCCUACGGGCGGCAGCAGUGGAGAGUAUUGCACAGUGGGCGGGAGCCUGUUGCGGCAGCGCCGCGUGCGGGAUGACGGCCUUCUGGUUGUAAACCGCUUUCGCCUGUGACGAGGCGUGCGUGACGGUAAUGGGUAAAGAAGCACCGGCUAACUACGUG
rnacentral:rRNA from 1 species